UUUUUGUUUUACCAUCUGUUGUUUGUCAGUCCCGCAACGGAAUCUAUUUGAUACGCCAUGUUUUCGAUCGUCCUUGGUCUGUCAUGCUAUUUGUCCUCCUCUCUGUUAAAAUAAUAUAACAAACAGUAGAAGCGUCUGAAUGGCUCAGAACGUGUCCAAUCGUGUUCCGUUUCCUAACGGUUUGUAUCGUUCUGGUUUCAUUAACUUCACUUAGCAUAAUACG